GCUUGGGAAUAUGCCUUAUGGUGGGGACAACAGUUGGAAACGAUAGCUAAUACCGCAUAACGUCUACGGACCAAAGGGGGACGUUGUUCCUCUCGCCUAUUGAGUAGCCUAAGCGAGAUUAGCUUGUUGGUGAGGUAAAGGCUCACCAAGGCGACGAUCUCUAGCUGUUCUGAGAGGAAGAUCAGCCACACUGGGACUGAGACACGGCCCAGACUCCUACGGGAGGCAGCAGUGGGGAAGUCUUAGACAAUGGGCGGCAAGCCUGAUCUAGCGAUGCCGCGUGAGUGACGAAGGUCUUAG
rnacentral:rRNA from 1 species